rnacentral:lncRNA from 1 species
GAGCCCAAAAGAUUUCUAUACAUGGACGAACAUGCAACCAAUUAAACACACGUUCUUUUUGAAAGAAUUAAAGAAAUGACUGAGAAAAUAACACAUUACAAAAAACAUAGGGUGAUUACCCUGGUUAGCUAAUUACAUGAUUAUUAGUAUCGAAUAUGGGCCACCAUGUGUUGAGCAUAUAGGUAGCCCCACGUCUGUUCCAUCAUUGUGAUGCAUAUACACCCCAAAUCUGUAAGAAACAAAAAAUAAUUGUAAAACCAAAAUUAAUCCUGGGCCAUCGUAGUUACAACUUACUUGCUGGUUGGUGCAGGUAGAUAUCCAUCGUUUUGAACAUGCACGAUCAACACUGAUAUCAAUGCGAUUUACACCGGGCCUUUAUCAUGUGGCGUACUCC